ensembl:ncRNA lncRNA:CR45147 long non-coding RNA:CR45147
GAGUUCGAGUUUUGAGUUCGAGUGCGACAUGCGACAUGCAAUGCAAUCCAAAGCGGAAAAAAAAGGAACUCACUCUCCGAGAGACAUCCAAAAGUAGCCGAAAUUGAGCUGAAGGAUAACACGAAAUGCCAACUGAGACAGCGGCGUUCCAGCACGCAAAUUGCGGACCAGGCGAGCGGCCAGAGGAUCGGUACCAGUCAAGUGGUGGCCAAAAGGGGUGGGGCCGCCAUUACAUUCCAUUGAGCGCACUCCGAUAAUGAGCCCCCAACACACACUCGAAAAAAAGAAUUGAGUAUCAUAGUGCACUCACGCACACCCCUCCAUCGUCGCAGGACACACUUUCUGCGGACUUGUGGUGCGCUAAAAGCGAAAUGAUAAGCUGACAGCUCCGGAGUAAGUAGGCGACCGACCUUAGCCUCCUCCACUACCGCCCGCUCCCCACGAAUCCGCUCCUUUUGGCGACGCCGGCUUUUUAUGAUAGCUACAGGGGGGCAGGCCAUGCGACUGAAUGGCCAAUGAAUCUCUGACUCGGGAAUUGCGACCGCAGAUGACUCACAAACACACGCGUGUGAUGGGUUUCGCAUUAGAGCGUAAUUCCCAAAACGGAUCUGUCGAGCCGAAAUGGCUUAUACUAUACCCAUUCAAGAUUGGCUAGCAGCAAGUUUAGUGUUUUAGUGUUUAACUCGGAAUUGGUUUUGAUCCCACAACGUUUUUGGGACUCAAAGCCAUUGGCCAUCAAAAUUUAUAUUGGGCUUUAAAAUGAAUAUUUAUAGGAUGAUAAUCUUUAUCAGAUUUAUAAUUCGAUUUUUAAUAAUUAAACCGCAAAUCUUGUGUUGAUUAAAUUUGUUUCCAGUGAAAUCGAAAUACAAAAUAAUAAAUAUAAAUUUUUCACGGAAUAUUGUCGUCUCUUUGGUCCUUUGAUAUUCAAAAUAUAUGUAUGAUUUUAGAGUUAUGAAUUUUUAAUUAAAUUUACAACAGCCAGACUUUGAAGUUGUUCACUAUCUGAAAUGGUUUUUUUUCUUUAUAGUUUCUUCUAGUACCAGACACACAAAGUGAGACCCUUGAUUAUCCCGCCAGACAUCUGCUCCAGUCUGAUAUUGAUAUGCACUCGAAUCCAUAUGCCGACUUUCGCCAGCGGCACAAGUCCUUUCCCUUGGAUCGAUGA